GACGUAGGGGGCAAGCGUUGUCCGGAAUCAUUGGGCGUAAAGAGCGCGUAGGCGGUCCGGUAAGUCCGCUCUGAAAGUCCGGGGCUCAACCCCGGGAGGCGGGCGGAUACUGUCGGGCUAGAGUCCGGAAGAGGCGAGUGGAAUUCCUGGUGUAGCGGUGAAAUGCGCAGAUAUCAGGAGGAACACCAAUGGCGAAGGCAGCUCGCUGGGACGGUACUGACGCUGAGGCGCGAAAGCGUGGGGAGCGAACGGG
rnacentral:rRNA from 1 species